AGAUUCCCCUCUGAGCACAGAGCCUGACGCUGAGCUCUAGCUCACGACCCUGAGAUAAUAACCUGAGCUGAAAUCAAGAGUUGGAUGCUUAACCAACUGAGCCACUCAGGCACCCCUCACUCUCUGUUUCUUGGUCAUGCCAUUAUCUGUUCCUGAUAUUUUAGCCAUUGAGAAGAAAAAAUGUUUAAAGCUGUGGCUAAAUAUACUUCCCUUAGUAAAAAGGUUUACAGCUAAGUGAAAAGGGGAUAAAAGAAAAUCAUAAUGCUUAUAGAACAGUUCAGUAUUGAGUAAAGGAAAUAAUGAAUAAAAGAAAAAAAGACUAAUGAAGUCAGACACCAUUUACAAAAUUCACCUGAGAUUUAUUGCAUAGCAUGUUUUAGGAAGGUAUGUAGACACAGUAAUUUUGGUGGGUAAUUUGCUUUCUCAUUGACUUAUUUAGUGUUCUGUAUAUUGUCUGUUGCUGCAUAGCUAAUUAUCCCCAAAACUUUUCAGCUUUAGACAACAAACAUGUAUUAUCUCAGAGUUUUCUAGGGUCAGGAAUAUGGGAGUAGCUUGGCUGCAUGUUCUGGUCAGGGUCUCAUAAAGUUAUAGUCAAACUGCUGGUCAGGACUGUAACAUUUCAAGGCUCAACUAGGGCUGAAGGGAAAGUUCACUUAUGUGAUUGUUGAUGACUUCAGUUCCUCAUGGGUUUUCUGCUAGCAGCUGCCCUCAUUUCCUCGCCAUGUGGGCCUCUCCAUAGAGCAGCUUUUAACAUAGUGGCUGGCUUCCCCUGGGACAAGGGAGGAAAAGGGAUGGAGGGAGAAAGAGUAAAUAAAAUGGAAACCACAGUACUGUUUUUGUGAACGAGUCUUCACAGUUGCAUAUUAUAACUUCUGCUUCGACUACUGGUUAGAAGAGUCACUCAUGAGAGUUCGUAGAGUUAUUUUUAAAACCACCACAUUUCCUUAAUAAGUUCUCAUCUGCAACAAAUGUGUGUGCAUACACACAUGUGAGUGCCUUUACUUACCCUGGUAUUACAUUUGAGAAUUUUGAAUUUGAUUUUUCACAUGACUUUCCUCUCAGGGAAAUAAAGUUUUCUCACUUUAUCAGUCUGAAGGAAGAAGAAACAACAAUAGAAAAGCGGUGUAUGGAUUUUUGUUAUGUAUUAAAGUGGACUCUGAAUCUAAGGAAAUGUUUAGGUUUGAAAAUUGUUGAAAGUAGUGUGAAGAUUUGGAAUUUGUCAUUCUUUUAGUUUCAUUGGUGAGGAAUCUGUGGCAGCUGGGGAAAAAAGUGUCUUAACUGACAGCCCUACAUGGAUCAUUGACCCUAUUGAUGGAACAACGAAUUUUGUACAUAGAUUUCCUUUUGUAGCUGUUUCGAUUGGCUUUACUGUAAAUAAAAAGAUGGAAUUUGG